UACGUAGGGUGCAAGCGUUAUCCGGAAUUAUUGGGCGUAAAGAGCUCGUAGGCGGUUUGUCGCGUCUGCUGUGAAAACUGGGGGCUCAACCCCCAGCCUGCAGUGGGUACGGGCAGACUAGAGUGCGGUAGGGGAGAUUGGAAUUCCUGGUGUAGCGGUGGAAUGCGCAGAUAUCAGGAGGAACACCGAUGGCGAAGGCAGAUCUCUGGGCCGUAACUGACGCUGAGGAGCGAAAGCCAGGGGAGCAAACGGG
rnacentral:rRNA from 1 species